GUGGCCUUUAAUGACUCUGUUGACUUCCAUGAAGACUUCCAUCAAGAGGAAAACAUUGUUUUCUUCCUGAAGAGGAACCCCAUGCCAAUAAUUGUUAAUCUCUAGUUGGAGAACAUGCACAGGAUACACAUGUCUGUAAUGGAUAUGAUUCCAGUUUGAGAACCGUCAAGGAUUACCACUUAAACAAAAAAGUCCUAAGUGAAUAUAUUGAGUGAUAAGCAUGACUAAUUUAGAAGCACAAAUUGUCAAAAUGUCUCUGUUUCAAAUAAGAGAAAUAAGCAAAUCAUUUGCUAUGAAGUCAACUUACGUCAUGACAACCACAUUCUCUAAAGUCAAAGGACUGAGAAGCAAUUUAACCCAUCUAUUAUCUAAGAAUGCCUGACAACCUAUGCGGUCAAUAGACUUGUUGCUCAUGUUUUUAUUGAGUUUCAUCUUCCUGUUUGCUGCCUUGGGCUGUUAUUUUGUACACCUGCACUCAGCCAGAAAUAUAAUGAAAAAGAAUCAAUCUCUGAAGAGAAAGUUAUCACCAGCCAAUAACAUUGGGCCACUUUCAUGGGUCCUGCAGUGUUUCAUCCAAUUGCCAAAAUGCUUUACCAUUAUAAACUGAAGACAGUAACUCAGCUUCUCUUCCUGGAAAAAUCUUACCUUGUUGUCAGUGUUGCAAGCCCUUGCUUGUAGAAGGAUCAGCAGUAGAUUGGAAAAGAAAAAAAUAUCUAUCCUUUACUUUUUACAAGUGCUGGAGAACUAUCCAUAUAUGGUAUGAGAUGCUCUUUGGACUCCACCUUAUAAUUGCAAUGAUGAACAUCUGAUCUGCAUGAUAUUGUACUCUCUACAUUGAAUUCAAGGAACCCUAAAGAAUAGCAUUCACUUCUCAUAGAAACCAUGACACCGAAUUAAACCAUUACUUUGCCUAGAAAUUAUGUGAAAAGAGAGUCUCAGAAAUGUCUGACCAUUGUUCAUCCCUCUCGCACAGCCAGAACAGCCUCCCUGUGCCUAGAUGCACUCUGUAACAGAUCUCUUAAUGCCUUGCCUUGCCCCUGCCAAGGAAGCUGUGAGUGGGGUUUCCUCAGAGCAGUGAUGCCUUCCAGCUUCACCACUGUGGGCCCAUGCCUAGAUGAGACCAACCCCAUGGAAGCACCUGUGAUGGUUUCCAAAACACCUCCUCCCUUCUGGAAAAGAGAAGUUGCUCUGAGCAUGACCCCUCCUGCCUGCUGACAGCAAGUGCUGGUUCAACAUGGAUACCUGCAGCAGAAUUAGUGAAAAGCUUUGUACGAGACUGCAGGGCAAAUUCAGGCUCAUGGAGCUUUUCCUGCUUUGACUGAAUCAUGACAUUCAGACUGGAGUCAUGUUUUCUCUGGCGGCAGCAGCACUGAGAUUUCUGAAGCAGAUGCUCUGUGAUCUUCAGUCACACCUGGAUAUCCUCUGUCAUCAGGUGAUGGUGAUAAAAGGCAGAGUAGUGCCUGGUUUGCAGACUGCCAAGCAGGCUAGUGGGCCGGGCUCGGGUACGGCAGAAGCAGAAAUUCACAGGCUCCUACCCAACGUCGCUGUCAGAGAGCACUGCAGAAGUCUGUGGAGUGGGGGCAAGAAAACAAAGCAGACCUGUCUGACCACUUGGAAACUUUCUACUUGUGAAUAUAGCUGCCAAUUCUGACACAGCCAGGGAGAAAGACAACUUCAAAAUGUGUUAUAUCUGGCUGGGAUGAGAGCCAGAUUAUUAACAGGAUGACUUGUUUUGUGAGACUCUUUCAUCAGCCACCAUCUGCUCUUUGAUUCAGCUCUUUCCUUUUUCCCAUGCUAAUAGCUGUUAACACUGAACUUGCCUGUUACAGUUCAGGCUGUAAACAGCAUGAAAAUAUUCAGCGUUGCUGGUGUCAAGAAUCUUCAGUGCAGGCUCAGACUUUAAAGGGCAAGAACAAAUCCAGACAAGAUUUGGAAGAGCUCUUUCAUCAGAUCAAAAUAUUUAUAAUGUCAAUGCCAAUCAGAUGAUAGGUCAAUGCACCUUCUUAGAGAAACAGCUGUAUUCCAAAAUUCAGCCAUAGGUCUGUAUAUGAAACAUAUAAAGUAUGACAUGCUUCCUGAUGAAAUAGUGAGUUAGAACUAGGCCAACAAAGAUAUCAGUCAAAAUAGACAAUGGAUUUUCUUAUCUGUAAAGUAUUACUAUGUUAAUUCUGUGCAAGGAUUCAUCCAGCCCAGUAUUCUGUUCCAAAAGUGGUCAUGUGCAGACAUAGAAAGAAAAAUCUGUUUCCAGGUGCACACCCAGGUUUUGCAAGAGCCCAUGUGAAAUAUGCAUCCAUAUCAACCCUUACUGCCCCUUGUAAGGCUCUUCCCCUGUUCUUUGUGAUAGGUCUUAGUUCUUGCUUUGGAAGGAACAGUUUAUCCCUUUCUUCUUGCCACACCUGUUUCAGCAGAUCUCUGCACUUUCCUCCUCCAGUCUUUGCUCCUCCAGACUGAAAACACCGUCUUCUCAGUAGCACACUGCAUGUCACCCCCACAAAAUGCACAGCAAUGCCCUGUGCACAUCUCUGUUUCCUUGUUUGUGAAGUGAGAACAAUUGUACUUUUUCAUCUUUUUCAAGCACUUUGGCAUGUAAGAAAGAAUGCUAAUCUGUUCCACUUACGUACCCUUUCAAACACAAAAUUAUUAUUAUAAUAGGAAUCUUCUCUGGAGAUAUUCAAGACCUGCCCGGAUGCCUUCCUGUUCAACCUACUGUAAGGAACCUGAUUGUAGCAGGGGGGUGGACUUAAUGAUAUCCAGAGGUCCUUUCCAACAUCUACAAUUCUGUGAUUCAAUGAUCGUUAAUGCUAAAAUUAAAACAGUGUCUUUUAAUUUGUAUCUACUUCUUUGGCUUAUUUGAUUAGUGGUUAUUCUUGUCAAUAAGAAGGCAUUCAAUACAGGUUAAUACAGUAGGUGUUAAAUAGUAGAUCUUAAAUGCUAUAUUUGUCUUAUAACUAAUAUUUGAAUGAGUUUUGCAAAUGAACAGGUAUGCAAAACAUGCAAAUGCAUACAAAAUAUAGACAGGUGUCAGACACAGGAACAUAAUAUU